UGGGACUUGGACCACGCUCAGGGCCAAUGCUCUUACCCAUUGUGCCGCCCCACCAUUCCAGACACAUCCACUGAUGCUACACAGAAUUUCUGUGUAAGAGAACAUCAGUGAGUAUAGUCACAUUUGACAAGUGAAUAAUGACAAAUGCAACUCCUCAUAUGGAAGGUCUUAGUCCUUAUGGUGCCCCAUCCUUCAUCAAGCACCAUAAUAGUGGCCUGAAGAUCUUAAGUGAUCUGCCUUAAGGAAAAAGUUAUAAAUUCCCUAUUCAUUGACACUCGGGUUUACAAUGAAUAAAUAGAAUAAGUUAUUUUUUGUUUUGUUACCAGAUUCGUAGUCUUUUUUGGUUUCUUCUUGGAAAUCCUUAAAAAUUUCUUGUCUGAAUUUUUUUUCCAGUCCGUAACUAUAAAACCUGAAAAGACA